GAAACCCUCUUUUAUGCAAUUCAGCUGCCAGAGGUAAAGAUAGACUACAUUAAAUAUGCAUAAACAACACAUCCACGAUAAAUAUUCAGUUCUAGAUUGAUAAAGCUAACUGAAAGAGAAGGACUACUAGGACAAGAAUAACAGCUUAAUAAUGUCCAAAGGAAGCAACAAUCUUAAUGACUGACACCCUUUUUUGCUCUAAGAGACUCGAGAGCCUUCUCCCGCAGCUCAAUUUCAAGUCUUUUCUGCAAGGACUCUGACUCCUCAAUCUUACAUCCAUGUUGAUACUCUUCUCUCAGAUGUUCAUCAUCUGAAGCACGAUUAUUAGGAUUCCUCUCUGUAUCUGAAGGCGAGGAUAUGGCAUUAACUGACUUCGAUUUUCGUUUCUGAGAACGUCUUUCUUCCUUUCUGUGCCGCCUCUCUUCCCGCCGACGACGCUUCUCCUCUUUCUUCAAUCUUCUCUCCUCUUUCCUUCUCUUUUUAGCCUCCUUCCUAUCCUCAACAUCAGAAUCAAAACUAUCAUCUGACGUUGACUCAUAUCUGUCAGACCUCUUAUGCUUUCUUUUAUCCUUAAUUUUAGCUCUACGCUUUUCACUUUCCUCGAAACCAGAACCCUCUUUACUACUUAAAUCAUUCUGCUCAACUUUCUUUGAUGAAGUGAGAGGAGCUUCGGACUCAACAUAUAGCUCUUUGCCCUUGGUAUCGUUUGUGUGAGAUAGGUUUUCCUUAUCUGCUUUGACACUCUCCCCAUCAUAUGAUUCCUUUAACCUUUUAACUGAAUGAGAGUGUCUAUGAGUUGAUGGUGACUUUUGUUUAUCCAGUUCCUUUGAAUGCUGCAUAGUUCCUGAAAAUUUUUCACUCUUAAUCGCUUCAUUUCGCUUUCUCGACUCCAAUUGAUCUGAAUGGCUAUGAAUGUCAGAAAAUUCUUUCUGGACAAACCUCUUCCCAAGAUCUUUAUAUGGAUCGGGUGUUGUGGGAAUUUUUCUUGAAGACCUAGGUUUAUGCUCAAAAGCCUCCCUUGAAUGAUUCAUUUCUUUCUGAUCUGCGAUUUUCUCAGAAAUGUCAGAACUAACUUUCUGCUCUCUCAAUUUACUUGGACUAAGGCUGUCGAAGUCAAUUGUCUUUAUCUCCCUCGGGUUCGAAGUACUCCUUGGCCCUCUAUCUUCACUAGGACUCCUUCCCCUUUUGGUUGGUGGAGAUUCUGAGUCAGAUCUAGAGCGAUGUGGAGAUUCUGGAACAGAUGGUGACCGGCUUAGUUGAGGCGGCAAAGGCAGAUCUUUUUCUCGUGAAUCCUUACGGUCAUAUAUCCUUUUCUGCGGUGACCCAGAAGAAGAACGUCUGCGUUCCAAGGAUCUGGAUCCUUUAUGGGCCUCAGUUUUUACUGGUGAAGCAUAUCGAAUAGAGGAGUAUUUCUCACGGCUCCUUAUCCUUCCUCGAGGAGAUUGAAAUGGUGACCUUUCAUUCUUCGAUAUUCUCUUUCUGAUUGGUGAAGGAGACCUGCGGUAAAUGGGUGAUGGGGAAAGUGAUUCUUGAGAUGAAAGAGACCUUCUGGCAGGAGUUAAGGAUCUCUUCCUACCAAAAAUGGAGGUUUUUCGUUGAGCUAGGAAUGGAGACCUUUGCCGAGGACUCAAUGGAGAUCGGUGGUACCCCCGACUCACUGGAGAAGGGGACCUACGUUGCGUUGGAGAUGGUGUUCUGCGUCGAAGUGGUGAUUGACAUUUAAAAGGUGACCUUGAUCUGUAUCGCACUGGUGAGUGUCUACUUGGAGACCUUGACCUACACCAUAUAGGGGAUCGUGAUCUACGCCAAAUGGGAGACCUCGACCUAUGUCGAUGUGAAGACCUUGAUCUACGUCGAAUCGGGGACCUUGAUCUGCGUCGAAGCGGAGACCUUGAUCUGCGUCGAAGCGGAGACCUUGAUCUGCGUCGAAGCGGAGACCUUGAUCUGCGUCGAAGCGGA
rnacentral:misc_RNA from 1 species